CGCUAUCAUCAUUAACUUUAUUUAUUACCGUCAUUCAGUUCUGAAUGUCUGUUUACCCCUAAUUUCAACCGGAUGCCUCGCAUCCGGUUUUUUU
rnacentral:other from 1 species